GACGAACGCUGGCGGCGUGCCUAAUACAUGCAAGUUGAGCGCUGAAGGUCGGUACUUGUACCCACUGGAUGAGCAGCGAACGGGUGAGUAACGCGUGGGGAAUCUGCCUUUGAGCGGGGGACAACAUUUGGAAACGAAUGCUAAUACCGCAUAAAAACUUUAAACACAAGUUUUAAGUUUGAAAGAUGCCAUUGCAUCACUCAAAGAUGAUCCCGCGUUGUAUUAGCUAGUUGGUGAGGUAAAGGCUCACCAAGGCGAUGAUACAUAGCCGACCUGAGAGGGUGAACGGCCACAUUGGGACUGAGACAAGGGCCAAACCCCCACGGGAGGCAGCAGUAGGGAAUCUUCGGCAAUGGACGAAAGGCUGACCGAGCAACGCCGCGUUAGUGAAGAAAGGUUUCGGAUCGGAAAACUCUGUUGGUAGGGAAGAACGUUGGUGAGAGUGGAAAGCUCAUCAAGUGACGGUAACUACCCAGAAAGGGACGGCUAACUACGUG
rnacentral:rRNA from 1 species